rnacentral:tRNA from 1 species
UCCCUCGACUUUACAAAUCAUGGGGGUUCCAGUCCCU